GUGUGGUAGGGGCAGAGGGAAUUCCCGGUGUAGCGGUGAAAUGCGUAGAUAUCGGGAAGAACUCCAGUGGCGAAGGCGCUCUGCUGAGCCAUAACUGACGCUCAUGGACGAAAGCCAGGGAGCGAAAGGGAUUAGAUACCCCUGUAGUCCUGGCCGUAAACGAUGAACACUAGGUGUCGGGGGAAUCGACCCCCUCGGUGUCGUAGCCAACGCGUUAAGUGUUCCGCCUGGGGAGUACGCACGCAAGUGUGAAACUCAAAGGAAUUGACGGGGGCCCGCACAAGCGGUGGAGUAUGUGGUUUAAUUCGAUGCAAGGCGAAAAACCUUACCAGGGUAUGACAUCCUGCGAAUCUCUUGGAAACGAGAGAGUGCCUUCGGGAGCGCAGUGACAAGUGGUGCAUGGCUGUCGUCAGCUCGUGUCGUGAGAUGUUGGGUUAAGUCCCGCAACGAACGCAACCCACGUCGUUAGUUGCCAGUAUUCAGUUGGGCACUCCAGCGAGACCGCCGGUGAUAAACCGGAGGAAGGUGUGGAUGAAGUCAAGUCAUCAUGCCCCUUACAUCCUGGGCUACACACGUACUACAAUGCUACGGACAAAGGGCAGCAAGCUCGCGAGAGUUAGCAAAUCCCAUAAACCGUGGCUCAGUUCAGAUCGUAGGCUGCAACUCGCCUACGUGAAGGAGGAAUCGCUAGUAAUCGCAGGUCAGCAUACUGCGGUGAAUACGUUCCCAGGCCUUGUACACACCGCCCGUCACACCAUGGAAGUUGGCCACGCCCGAAGCCGUUACUCCAACCCUUGUGGAGGAGGACGUCGAAGGUGGGGCUGAUGACUGGGGUGAAGUCGUAACAAGGUAGCCGUACCGGAAGGUGCGGCUGGAUCACCUCCUAA
rnacentral:rRNA from 1 species